rnacentral:rRNA from 1 species
GACAGAGGAGGCAAUUGUUAUCCGGAAUUAUUGGGCGUAAAGCGUCCGUAGGUGGUUUGGCAAGUCUGGGGUUAAAGCCCGGAGCCUAACUCCGGAUCGGCCCUGGAAACUGCCAGACUAGAGCAAGGUAGGGGUUGCGGGAAUUCCCGGUGUAGCGGUGAAAUGCGUAGAUAUCGGGAAGAACACCAGUGGCGAAAGCGCGCAACUGGGCCAUUACUGACACUGAGGGACGAAAGCUAGGGGAGAGAAUGGG